rnacentral:tRNA from 1 species
ACUAUUUUGGCAGAAAUUAUGCAAUAAGUUUAGAAUUUAUUUAUGUAAUAUUUUUAUUACAAAUAGUA